rnacentral:sRNA from 1 species
CCUAAACCUAGCCACCCACCCAGAUCAAGCCUAAUUUCCCUUUGCCCCUCCUUGUAUUCCUUCCCGCUCUUCCCUCGACUACCCGACCUGCGAUCCCCAGACGUUGGUUGGUCCGCUGACAUGGAGCAAGUCCUUUGUAGACUGCAGACUGGGUCAGACCAUGCUACCUCACCUUCAAGUCCCAAUGCACCCAGCGCAAGAGACUUACCGAAAAUGGGUCCAAGUUGGGACGUAGCUGGUUCUCCACAAUUCCCCUUUUCAACCUCUCCGGCUCUCCGACAUCGACAUAGCCUCAGCUCUACAUGACCGCACUCUUGUCGGCUCCUCGGUCCCCAUCCGCCACUUUGUGGGGCCUCUGCAUCACUAGGCCAUGACGAAUUAUGCCGGGGGCGCAACCCUUGGAGCCAAAGGCGUCAUGACACCAUUAACCGAGCUAUAUAUUAACAUUUGAACCAGGUUAAUGGUGCUAUCAUCGAAAUCGAGCCUCCAACACUCUCCGGCCAGCGCCGAAACGACCUGAGGAUUCGAGGAACAAGUUCCCUCCCUUUCACCGACUAUAAUCUCAAGAUCCUUUCGCUUGGUGACAACGAUGCCAGGAGUACGGCUGUCCCCCAUCCACCAAACAGCAAGCUCGCAGAUUUCUAUUUUGACCGGUGCGUCGGCUGACUCGACAAGGUCGGCAAGGCAGUAGAGAGGAGGGUCCCAAGAUUCGCCGGUGGCGUUUUCAAGCCACUUAUCUUAUCGACAGGGGGCCUCACAAGCCAUGGGACUGCCGACGAGCUGAAAGCGUGGCGAGAGGCGAUGCCAGAGGGGGUGUUCGUUCGCUUACAGAGGGGGAUUAGCAUUGAGUUGGUGAAGGCAAGGGCGAGGACGUUGGUCCUUUAAAGAAGGUGCAUUGAGGACGAGUUGAAUGACGGCGAGAGGAGGAAGAAGAGGGAAUAAUUUUUAGAUUUUUAAUAUUAUUUUAAUUCUUUCGUAUCUAUACCAACAAAAUAAAUCAAACACGAACUUAAUGCAUCCUCAUCAACCUCCCCGG